UUUCAUCCAUUUUUGCAGGUGCGAAUCAUCCCAAAUCGACACGUGCCCGGCAGCAGGCAAAAAAUGAGCAGUGCUUUUCGACCCCGACUGACAACUUUAAAAAUGAAGAAUUUGACUUCGAAAAAAACUUAGCUCUCUUCGACAAGCAGGCGGUGUUCGAGGAGAUCGACAGCCAGCAGCCGGACGUGGUGCGACUGGUGGACACGAACCGGCGCCGGCCGGCCGAGCGGGUCGAGGCCAAGUACCGACACGACCAGAACGUCAUCCAGGCGGCGCCAGUCCGCUACAAACCGCAUCGUAGUGCCGGAGACGCCAGAGGUCGAGUUCGUGACAGACACGGGCCUGGUGGUGCCAUCUGUGACAGUCCGGGCUCGGGACACGCUGCUGCAGACGGCGCAGCGGCACGGUCUGACAAUGGGCCGCCAGCAGGAGAUGCUGGGCCGCGGCUGCACCGAGAUGGCGUUGCAGCUGGUCGGCAGUCACGCCAGGCUGCUGCCUGAGAACGUGCACCAGGCGCCGCGCGUCGUCUGCCUUUGCGGCCCGCACUCGCAGGGAGCGGCAGGUCUGAACGGCGCCCGCCAGCUGACCGGUCACGGCGUGCGGGUGACCGUGCUGCUGCCGGACGUGGCGCUGACGUGUCGCGC